AUCUGGGCUUCUUUUUUAGGGGGGAGCUAGAUCCACCAUAAACAUUUUAUGUGUAUAUGUACACCGUUUAUCAUAUACAUAUUGUGACAACUGUAUAUAUAUAUAUAUAUUUUGAGACAGAGUCUUGCUCUGUCACCCAGGCUGGAGUGCAGUGGCGCAAUCUUGGCUUACUGAGACCAACCUCCGCCUCCCGGGUUCAAGCGAUUCUCUUGCCUCAGCCUCCUGAGUAGCUGGGAUUACAGGUGCGCCACCACACCCGGCUAAUUUUUUUUGUAUUUUUAGUAGAGACAGGGUUUCACCAUGUUGGUCAGGCUGGUGUUGAACUCCUGACCUCAUGAUCUGCCCGCCUCAGCCUCCCAAAGUGCUGGGAUUACAGGUGUGAGCCACCGUGCCUGGCCUAAACAACUUGUAUGUAUACAUACACUGUUUAUCAUAUAUACGUAUUGUGGCAACCAUAUGUAUGAAUAAGCCUUCAAAAGCUGGUCAGUGAGAAGGUCGGAGGGGCCGAGGGGACCAAGCUGGAUGAUGACUUCAAAGAGAUGGAGAAGAAGGUGGAUGUCACCAGCAAGGCGGUGACAGAAGUGCUGGCCAGGACCAUCGAGUACCUGCAGCCCAACCC
rnacentral:lncRNA from 10 species